AAUAAAGUGCCUGAGAAAAAAAGGACUAUUUUGAUAGAAUAGAUUAUGUGUAUAACACCUUUAUUA
rnacentral:tRNA from 1 species